rnacentral:rRNA from 1 species
GAUGAACGCUGGCGGCGUGCUUAACACAUGCAAGUCGAACGGAAAGGCCGAAGCUUGCUUCGGUACUCGAGUGGCGAACGGGUGAGUAACACGUGGGUGAUCUGCCCUGUACUUCGGGAUAAGCUUGGGAAACUGGGUCUAAUACCGGAUAUGACGAUCUCUUGGAUGGGGUUGUGGAAAGCUUUUGCGGUAUGGGAUGAGCUCGCGGCCUAUCAGCUUGUUGGUGGGGUAAUGGCCUACCAAGGCGUCGACGGGUAGCCGGCCUGAGAGGGUGUACGGCCACAUUGGGACUAAGAUGCGGCCCAGACUCCUACGGGAGGCAGCAGUGGGGAAUAUUGCACAAUGGGCGCAAGCCUGAUGCAGCGACGCCGCGUGGGGGAUGACGGCCUUCGGGUUGUAAACUCCUUUCGCAAUCGACGAAGCCUUUUGGUGACGGUAGGUUGAGAAGAAGCACCGGCUAACUACGUG